AUUGAACGCUGGCGGCAUGCUUUACACAUGCAAGUCGAACGGCAGCGCGGGCUUCGGCCUGGCGGCGAGUGGCGAACGGGUGAGUAAUGCAUCGGAACGUGCCCAGUAGUGGGGGAUAGCCCGGCGAAAGCCGGAUUAAUACCGCAUACGACCUGAGGGUGAAAGCGGGGGACCGAAAGGCCUCGCGCUAUUGGAGCGGCCGAUGUCGGAUUAGCUAGUUGGUGGGGUAAAGGCUUACCAAGGCGACGAUCCGUAGCUGGUCUGAGAGGACGACCAGCCACACUGGGACUGAGACACGGCCCAGACUCCUACGGGAGGCAGCAGUGGGGAAUUUUGGACAAUGGGGGCAACCCUGAUCCAGCCAUGCCGCGUGCGGGAAGAAGGCCUUCGGGUUGUAAACCGCUUUUGUUCGGGAAGAAAUCCUCUGGGCUAAAACCCCGGGGGGAUGACGGUACCGGAAGAAUAAGCACCGGCUAACUACGUG
rnacentral:rRNA from 1 species